rnacentral:rRNA from 1 species
CCUACGGGAGGCAGCAGUGAGGAAUAUUGGUCAAUGGGCGUAAGCCUGAACCAGCCAAGUCGCGUGAGGGAUGAAGGUUCUAUGGAUCGUAAACCUCGUUUAUAAGGGAAUAAAGGGUGGGACGUGUCCUAUUGUGUAUGUACCUUAUGAAUAAGGAUCGGCUAACUCCGUGCCAGCAGCCGCGGUAAUACGGAGGAUCCGAGCGUUAUCCGGAGUGAUUGGGUUUAAAGGGUGCGUAGGCGGCCGUUUAAUUCAGCGGUGAAAGUCUGUGGCUCAACCAUAGAAUUGCCGUUGAAAAUGGGGGGCUUGAGUAUGUUUGAGGCAGGCGGAAGGCGUGGUGUAGCGGUGAAAUGCUUAGAUAUCACGCAGAACCCCGAUUGCGAAGGCAGCCUGCCAAGCCAUGACUGACGCUGAUGCACGAAAGCGUGGGGAUCAAACAGGAUUAGAUACCCCUGUAGUC